rnacentral:rRNA from 1 species
UGGGGAAUUUUGGACAAUGGGCGAAAGCCUGAUCCAGCAAUGCCGCGUGUGUGAAGAAGGCCUUCGGGUUGUAAAGCACUUUUGUCCGGAAAGAAAUCCUUGGCUCUAAUACAGUCGGGGGAUGACGGUACCGGAAGAAUAAGCACCGGCUAACUACGUGCCAGCAGCCGCGGUAAUACGUAGGGUGCAAGCGUUAAUCGGAAUUACUGGGCGUAAAGCGUGCGCAGGCGGUUUGCUAAGACCGAUGUGAAAUCCCCGGGCUCAACCUGGGAACUGCAUUGGUGACUGGCAGGCUAGAGUAUGGCAGAGGGGGUAGAAUUCCACGUGUAGCAGUGAAAUGCGUAGAGAUGUGGAGGAAUACCGAUGGCGAAGGCAGCCCCUGGGCCAAUACUGACGCUCAUGCACGAAAAGCGUGGGGAGCAAACAGGAUUAGAUACCCUGGUAGUCCACGCCCUAAAACGAUGUCAACUAGUUGUUGGGGAUUCAUUUCCUUAGUAACGUAGCUAACGCGUGAAGUUGACCGCCUGGGGAGUACGGUCGCAAGAUUAAAACUCAAAGGAAUUGACGGGGUCAUAGCUGUUUCCU